AAUAAAAUGGCUGAGGAUUAAUAAGCGGUAAAUUGUAAAUUUAUUUACGAGAAUAUUUCUCUUUUAUUA
rnacentral:tRNA from 1 species